rnacentral:rRNA from 1 species
UACGUAGGUGGCAAGCGUUGUCCGGGUUUACUGGGUGUAAAGGGCGUGCAGCCGGGCUGACAAGUCAGAUGUGAAAUCCCGCGGCUCAACCGCGGAACUGCAUUUGAAACUGUCAGUCUUGAGUACCGGAGAGGUCAUCGGAAUUCCUUGUGUAGCGGUGAAAUGCGUAGAUAUAAGGAAGAACACCAGUGGCGAAGGCGGAUGACUGGACGGCAACUGACGGUGAGGCGCGAAAGCGUGGGGAGCAAACAGG